GAGCCCACAGAGUGUUGACAACUGUGCAAGGGUGUGUGGCCAUCUGCCGUAGCAUGGGAAAGCUACAAGGGCCUCUACCCUAGAGAGAAAAUGGCUCUUCCUGCCUUCAGUCAUCAGUAGCCAAUAGCAAGCAGGCGGAGCUUCGUCAGCCCCUGGCUCAUCCAUGUGGCAGAUUGGACGGCUUUGAUCUUCAUCACCACCACAGUGAGUUGGUGUGUGCAACAGCCCCGUUAUUCCUGGAAAACACUGGUUUGCAGUCGUCCUCCACAGCCCCUGGCUCUUACAGUGUCUUCGCCUCCUCUCAGGAAAUAAUCCCAGAGCCUUCAGAAGAGGGUGGGGGAGAUGUCCUGUGCAGCGCUGUGCACCCCAAGUCUCAUCUUCUGUACAUUGGCUCUUUGCAAGAAUCUGAGGGUGCAGAACAGAUGUCGCAUUCUGUGCUGUGCACCCCAAGUCUCAUCUUCUGCACAUUGGCUGGUUGUAAGAAUCUGAGGGUGCAGAACAGAUGUUGCAUUCGAUGCUUCACACCCCCACAAUCCUAUGUUCUGCUCUUGACCAGUUGUGCCAAUGGUCAUCUACUAUGGAAAGGAGCUUCUCCCAAUUGCCUAGGUUUCCUGAGGAUGACGACAUUUUGCUCUCUCUGAUGGAUGAGGACGUCUCCGCUGCGUAUAUCUGCCACAUUUCCCUCACCGUUCAUCCUUCGAUGCCCACCUAGCUCCCAGCUUUCAUAACUUUGCUCUUAUGAACAGCACUCCAGCAAACAGACGUGUGAGCAUUUCUGACCUGUAUCGACUGAAGAGCGCUUCAGGUGUACACAACCUUGAAUCACAUGCACAUCGUCUUCUCAGUGGAUCUUGGUCCCUGAAGCCCCAGAUGCCCUGGCCUCCUUGACUAUAACUUACGUCUCCCUAGCCCGUCGACUGCCUAAAGCCCCACGGCUCCUCCAUUGCUACUCGACGUCAGCCCUGUCCAAGACUGGAAUUCGCAAAGGCCCUGCGGGAGAGCUUGUUUCAGAGACCCUCAGCCCAGCUUUCCUUCUUCUUUCUGGGUCGUGGCGGUGAAGUCCUGGUUGCUUUCGUAGAUCUCUGAUAAUCUCCAAGAGAGUUUUUCUUCAUAUCUUCUCCAACAUUCCUAGCUGUCUCCUCAUAUGCAAAUCUACAGAAAUCUAUUCUCAACGUGGAAGUGGUUGAAUAAACACAGUCUCGUGUUUUUUAAGUGUUUUGCACGUUGGAAACGUUACAUGGCCUCCUUUGUUUCAUGAGCUGUUUCCCACAUAUUCUUGCCCUCCUCUGUAGGAUCCCAGCGUGAUGUAAUUGUAGAUACGAGUCCCUCGAUGGCCCUAUAACAUUUUUCUUAAAUAAAAUAGGCACAUUCCCCAAAAUUUAAAAAAAAAAAAACCUUACUAUAACCCGUGGUCUCUGGUUUCCUAGGACUCUGAUUCAAACUUCUUAACUUUGCCUGCAUAUUUUAACUGUGUGGGGAUACUUAAAAACUGCUGAUAUAUAAAUUCUACAAUUAGAGGCUCUAAUUUAACUGGACUGGGGUGGGGUGGCUUCUGAGAAAGUGCUGGAUCUCCCUACAUAGUAACAAGGGACAGGAAAUCAUUGCUUCCGAGGGUAAUUUCGUUUUUAUAAUUUGAGUAACUGUU